UACGUAGGGUGCAAGCGUUGUCCGGAAUUAUUGGGCGUAAAGAGCUCGUAGGCGGUUCGUCGCGUCGGCUGUGAAAACCCGGAGCUCAACUCCGGGCCUGCAGUCGAUACGGGCGGACUUGAGUGUUGCAGGGGAGACUGGAAUUCCUGGUGUAGCGGUGAAAUGCGCAGAUAUCAGGAGGAACACCGGUGGCGAAGGCGCACAUCUGGCCCGAUACUGACGCUGAGGCGCGAAAGCUAGGGGAGCAAACUGG
rnacentral:rRNA from 1 species